rnacentral:tRNA from 5 species
GGAAGGCAUCCGUGCCCGGCGGCACGGCUGGGCUUCAAACCCAGUUGGGGGCGUCAGACGUUCCCAGGUAGGUUCGACUCCUGCUGCCUUCCGCCA